AGUGAACGCUGGCGGCGUGCUUAACACAUGCAAGUCGAACGAGAACGGAAUAUAGCUUGCUAUAUUUGUCAGCUAAGUGGCGCACGGGUGAGUAAUGUAUAGAUAACCUGCCCUUAAGAAAGGAAUAACAGUUGGAAACGACCGCUAAUGCCCUAUAUGCCUUGAAUACAUAAGUAUGCAAGGGAAACGCUUUAGUGCUUAAGGAUGGGUCUGGAUGGUAUCAGCUUGUUGGUGAGGUAAUGGCUCACCAAGGCUAUGACGCCUAACUGGUUUGAGAGGAUGAUCAGUCACACUGGAACUGAGACACGGUCCAGACUCCUACGGGAGGCAGCAGUGGGGAAUAUUGCACAAUGGACGAAAGUCUGAUGCAGCAACGCCGCGUGGAGGAUGACACAUUUCGGUGCGUAAACUCCUUUUAUAUAGGAAGAUAACGACGGUACUAUAUGAAUAAGCACCGGCUAACUCCGUGCCAGCCGCCGCGGUAA
rnacentral:rRNA from 1 species